rnacentral:rRNA from 1 species
AGUGAACGCUGGCGGUAGGCCUAACACAUGCAAGUCGAACGGCAGCACAGUAAGAGCUUGCUCUUACGGGUGGCGAGUGGCGGACGGGUGAGGAAUACAUCGGAAUCUACUUUUUCGUGGGGGGUAACGUAGGGAAACUUACGCUAAUACCGCAUACGACCUACGGGUGAAAGCAGGGGAUCUUCGGACCUUGCGCGAUUGAAUGAGCCGAUGUCGGAUUAGCUAGUUGGCGGGGUAAAGGCCCACCAAGGCGACGAUCCGUAGCUGGUCUGAGAGGAUGAUCAGCCACACUGGAACUGAGACACGGUCCAGACUCCUACGGGAGGCAGCAGUGGGGAAUAUUGGACAAUGGGCGCAAGCCUGAUCCAGCCAUACCGCGUGGGUGAAGAAGGCCUUCGGGUUGUAAAGCCCUUUUGCUGGGAAAGAAAAGCAGCAGGUUAAUACCCCGCUGUUCUGACGGUACCCAAAGAAUAAGCACCGGCUAACUUCGUG